CCGUAGAACCCUUACCAUUACU
rnacentral:miRNA from 1 species